rnacentral:rRNA from 1 species
AGGGUUUGAUCAUGGCUCAGGAUGAACGCUAGCGGCAGGCCUAAUACAUGCAAGUCGAGGGGCAGCACUUACUUCGGUAAGUGGCGACCGGCGCACGGGUGAGUAACACGUAUGCAACCUACCUUUAACUGGGGCAUAGCUCGAGGAAACUCGAAUUAAUUCCCCAUAGUAUAAUACAUUAUCUCAUGAUAUAAUUAUUAAAGAUUUAUCGGUUAAAGAUGGGCAUGCGUCUGAUUAGUUUGUUGGUGAGGUAACGGCUCACCAAGACUUCGAUCAGUAGGGGGUCUGAGAGGAUGAUCCCCCACACUGGUACUGAGACACGGACCAGACUUCUACGGAAGGCAGCAGUAAGGAAUAUUGGGCAAUGGGCGAAAGCCUGACCCAGCCAUGCCGCGUGCAGGAUGACGAUCUUACGGAUUGUAAACUGCUUUUAUAUAGGAAGAAAAUACUCUUGCGAGAGUAACUGACG